CUGUGGUAUCUUCGUUGAAGAGUCAUUCUUACAAAAGAUAACCUUAUUAACAGGAAUUGGCAUGGAAAUAUGCAAUGUGUGGUCUGUCAUCACGACGAAACAAUAAAACACUUGUUUUUUCAAUGCAAAUUGCCUCGUUCUAUAUGGUUGGUCAUCCAAGUAGGUUCUGGUUUGUAUCCUCCUCGUAGUGUUGCUAAUAUAUUUGGCAGCUGGUUACAUGAGAUAGAAUACAGGUUUAGAAUUCUUCUCAGGGUGGGAGCGCUUGCCACUAUCUGGUAG
rnacentral:rRNA from 1 species